GAUGAAGAACGCAGCGAAAUGCGAUAAGUAAUGUGAAUUGCAGAAUUCAGUGAAUCAUCGAAUCUUUGAACGCACAUUGCGCCCGCCAGUAUUCUGGCGGGCAUGCCUGUUCGAGCGUCAUUUCAACCAUCAAGCCCCCGGCUUGUGUUGGGGACCUGCGGCUGCCGCAGGCCCUGAAAACCAGUGGCGGGCUCGCUAGUCACUCCGAGCGUAGUAAUACAUCUCGCUCAGGGCGUGCUGCGGGUUCCGGCCGUUAAAAAGCCUUAUUUACCCAAGGUUGACCUCGGAUCAGGUAGGAAGACCCGCUGAACUUAAGCAUAUCAUAAGCGGAGA
rnacentral:misc_RNA from 1 species